CCUACGGGAGGCAGCAGUGGGGAAUAUUGCACAAUGGGGGAAACCCUGAUGCAGCGACGCCGCGUGAGUGAAGAAGUAAUUCGUUAUGUAAAGCUAUAUCAGAAGGGCAGAAAAUGACGGUACCUGAGUAAGAAGCCCCGGCUAACUACGUGCCAGCAGCCGCGGUAAUACGUAGGGGGCAAGCGUUAUCCGGAUUUACUGGGUGUAAAGGGAGCGUAGACGGCAGUGCAAGUCUGGAGUGAAAGGCUGGGGCUCAACCCCCGGACUGCUCUGGAAACUGUACGGCUGGAGUGCAGGAGAGGUAAGUGGAAUUCUUAGUGUAGCGGUGAAAUGCGUAGAUAUUAGGAGGAACACCAGUGGCGAAGGCGGCUUACUGGACUGUAACUGACGUUGAGGCUCGAAAGCGUGGGGAGCAAACAGGAUUAGAUACCCGGGUAGUC
rnacentral:rRNA from 1 species